rnacentral:lncRNA from 1 species
AUUUUCUCUAAAGAAGCCUCAAAGAAGGAAAACAAAUUCUUCCCCAACUUGGAACCCUAGAAAUCGCCCCCAAAAUCCCAACUGAAGUCUUGAAUUUCAUUUCGGAUUGUUUGUGUUUAACGGUUUUUGACAUUCUAUUCCUCCCACAGAUUGCCCGCAACAUUACAACAGAGGAGCUGGAGGCGAUUCAAAAACCCAUACGAUCAUGGCUGCAAGAAAACUUGUUUAGAAUUCUUGAUAAAUGGAUACAAUGUAGACGUGGAGUAUUAUGAAGAAUCAACGCUUUUCUUGUUAUGGCUAAGAUGCUGGUGUCAACGGAUGUCUUCUACAGGAAAGAAAGACCACCUCUUACAUUUUCUUUACUGGUUCAGUUUUUCCUUUUAGCAUUGGUUGGGUAAGAAUGUGGGAUUCUUAAAUUCUUUGAAUUUUCAUUUCUCUAAUAUCUUCAUUUUCUCAUAUUUUGUUGUGUUUUUGGCUCUACCAGAAAAUAGGUUUUCAUUUGUUAUGGGAUUUUAUCGAUUGUGGCCCAGUUGGACUGAUUUAAUGUUUGUUACCUGCCACGUCAAAUUUCCGUCCAACAAGGGGCACAUUCCGUUCAUUGAAGUUGACAGAAAUUAAAUGGGUGAUGGAUGUGUAAGUAUUUGGAGAGAUGAGUGAGUAACGGGUUAUAUUUUAUAGGUCGUUAAGCAAGUAGUAAUGUAGAUUGAAGUUGAGUGAGCAUUGAUUAAAUUUACUCUUCCCUUUCCACUCCUUUUCCUCUCCUCUCGUCUCUGCCGAUUGCCAACGACGGAACGACCGGACCAAAAUCCAAAUCAAUUUCUCUUAGAAUUUCUGCAAAUGCAAAAGAAGAAAACGCGAGGAACGAUUAUCCACGACCCAAAUCGCAAAGCCAAACCCUAACCUCGCAAUCAAUUUCGAACCUCCAUCGACAGCUUCCCAAAAUCUGAUUUUCGAGUUGCCAGUCUCACCGCACGGCGCACGUAGGUUAAAGAAAUCUGAUUUACUGUGUUUCUCCUUGUUAUUCAUUCGGCUCCUGUGCUCCGUCUUGGUGAUUGCAAGUUGCUUUUUUUUUUUUUUUUUUUAAUAAUCUUGUUCAAUGAAUAAUGUGCAUCACUGGGAUUUGGUUUAUGUUGUUUAUUAUACAUCUUUCUUAGUCAUGGCAACAAACUG